rnacentral:rRNA from 1 species
GAUGAACGCUGGCGGCGUGCUUAACACAUGCAAGUCGAACGGAAAGGCCCUGCUUUUGUGGGGUGCUCGAGUGGCGAACGGGUGAGUAACACGUGAGUAACCUGCCCUUGACUUUGGGAUAACUUCAGGAAACUGGGGCUAAUACCGUAUAGGAGCUCCUGCUGCAUGGUGGGGGGGGGAAAGUUUCGGCGGUUGGGGAUGGACUCGCGGCUUAUCAGCUUGUUGGUGGGGGAGUGGCUUACCAAGGCUGUGACGGGUAGCCGGCAUGAGAGGGUGACCGGGGUCAUGGGGACUGCGAGAGGCAGCAGACGCGAACGGGAGGCAGCAGUGGGGAGUAUGGUACAAUGGGAGGAAGCCUGAUGAGGCAACGCCGCGUGCGGGAUGACCGCCUGCGGGUUGUAAACCGCAUUCGCUUGUGACGAAGCGUGAGUGACGGUAAUGGAUAAAGAAGCACCGGCUAACUACGUG